AUGACAGGAUUCGGAUUCAAACCUUCCGUUAGCACGUCUAUCUAUUUGGCGUUGUACGGAUAUAACAGAGGUUUCCAUUAUUCAUUCUUCCCUCCAAACACCCGCUCCCAACAAAGCGGGUUCACCCCUUCUUCUCCAUUUUCGUUAACCACAAGAAAUGUGUUCAUUUGGUUGAUAAAAGGGGGUGAAUAUAGCACGGAGGGAGGUACGACUUCAAUUCAAAUUCAAAUUCAAACAGUUAAACCAUUUCAGAUUCUCUGUGUUCAUUUUUGUUAA